UACGAAGGGGGCUAGCGUUGUUCGGAUUUACUGGGCGUAAAGCGCACGUAGGCGGAUCGUUAAGUCGGGGGUGAAAUCCUGGAGCUCAACUCCAGAACUGCCUUCGAUACUGGCGAUCUCGAGUCCGGAAGAGGUGAGUGGAACUCCUAGUGUAGAGGUGGAAUUCGUAGAUAUUAGGAAGAACACCAGUGGCGAAGGCGACUCACUGGUCCGGUACUGACGCUGAGACGCGAAAGCGUGGGGAGCGAACAGG
rnacentral:rRNA from 1 species